AAGAAGACUAUCUAGAUCAUCAAAGCGGUCCACCUCCUGCAACAAAAAAGCCAAAACAUGAUAAUGCAACACGUAGUUGGAUACAAAUGGAACUAAAUAAACUCGUCAUCAAAGUGUAGCUCUAUGUUUCUAUAUUAAUUUAAAAAAAAAAACCAUUUUUGACAUGAUACGAAUCCUCCAAAUGAUUAAAGAACCAUAACGUAAAGGGAGAUACGAUAAACAUUAAACAAGAGACAAACAUUGCGUGCCUUAUCAAUAAUGUUAAUUAGCCAAUAAAGUUUGUAAUAAAGGUCGGAACUUGCCUGAAGACAUAAGAUGGUUGCAUUAUAGCGACUAAUCUCCUUACAUAUGAGAUGUUUCCGUCUACUCCACUCCAAGUGUUGCGGUGGGAUGUUGUAAUACAAGUCCAUGUGGUUGGACGCAUUGUCAACACCAAGUAGAUUGUACGAAACCAAAACUAACUUAUCUGAGACAUCAACAAAAAACAUGAUUCAGACACAACCAAAACCUUGUCCUAAA